rnacentral:lncRNA from 1 species
UUUUGGUUUUGUAAUAGUUAAUCUGUUAUCUCAGGUUCCUAGUCCCUAAAUUCUUGGUUUUAUAAAUCUGAAUUCUAUUCAUAAUAGAUUAUUUUAUGUAAAACACACAUGCUCUCCAUGUGAAUCCUCCACCCCCAUUUCCCAGUGAUUUCUACUUGUAUUCCCAGGAACUCCACCACAAAUGUUAAUUUUUGAUUUUUAUAUUUUGGUCUCAGAGACAAUAGCUAAACAGCCAUCAUAGCUCUGGACCUCAAGAUUUUGUGAUGUCCCUGGUCAGAAGUUCAGGCUUUUAAGAAGACAGAAAGAAAAUGACACAAUAAGCUUUAUUUUCAUCUUUCUAAAAUGGGACAAGAGGAAAUUUCCGUCUGCCUUCUGAAAUUUGCAGAUAUGAACUGAUGAUGGUCAAAUUUAUAGAUGGGAACCUUACAGACUUAUUAAUGAGCAUAGCAACAUCAAGGAACAUCACUAAUCCCGUGCAACUGCUAAGCUGUACAUUCUUCUUCAGAGGUGAGAGAGAGACAUAUGAAGACAGGCAAUUGGGAAGGUUAGCUUCUGACUCCUGGGAUAUAACAUGAUCUGGACACAGUGCCUGUUGGUCUUGGAAAGCCUCUGAGAAGCUCUAGGAAUACAAUUCCCAGGAGAAUGUUGACCUGAGCAUGCAGAGAAUGAGUGGAAGUCUCUUUGUAUGGACAUGUAUUUCUACAAUACCCAUGAAUGUUUUCCUUCUGGCCACUGAAGAGGAGGAUUCAUCUUUAUCUUCACUGUCAUCAAAGGAUAAGAUUAAUUAUGCCACAACACUGCUGUUCAGAGCUGCUGUUCUCUUCUGUCUGAACAAAGGCAAUGCAACAUGGACUCCUCACAAAUCACAAGUCACUGAAGAGCUUCAGUCAAUUCAUGGAAAUAACAUGUGAGUGCCUGGUUGAAGUGAUUUCUGACCAUAGCAUGGCAAGCUACAUAGAUUAAUAGUGUACGUAGUAUACCCAGUACAAAGACACUGUACUCUAGGAAAAGAAAAAUAGCAGAGUAGAAUGUGAAUGGCAGUCGUGAAGGCUGAGUAUCUUCAAGUACAAGCAUUGAAUAGGACUAUGAGAGCAGAUCUCAGUGAGGAAAUGAAAUUGCAGUUGCAUUCUGAAGAAUGCCAGGAAAUUUACCAUGAUGAUGUCUGAGAAAGAGCCAUUCUUAGUGCUUCUUUACACACAAGACCAGCUAGAAGCAAG